GACGGCUCUGUUCAGAGACGGUAGGAAUACUGUAACAGUGGGAAGCGAGCAGGGAAACGCACUGUGUCAGACUGAUAGGGGAAAAACACCACCCUCCGAUCACCUGGCGGUCCUUGACCAGAUGCUGCUCAGCAGUGGAGAGCUGCAUAUCCAGGAAUGCCCCGGAACCCAACUUAGGUGACUGCCUUCUGUCACUCCCAAUCAGCAUGGCUCUGUUCUUUGCCUUUUGGCUUCCAGAGCAUUUGCUACAGGUUAUGGAGUGUUUCUCUUCUCUCUCUUCUUGUCCUCCAUGUUGCCUGUUGGCGCCUCGGUGGAGUUUCAGUGACCCAAAUGCAGCCUGCUCUGCAUUGACCAAUUGUGAUGCCAAGAGAAGAGGUAGGCUUCAAAACAGGCUGCUGGACUGGAGACUCCACCACCAGGUGCUGUUGUCAUUCCUGACCUCCCUGGGUUGCGGCGUUGGACAUGCCCUGAUCCUUAGAAAGGGGUAAGAGAGAGUUGUGACCCUCUCGAGUGCUGCAAGGACUCUAUGGAGGCAUUUGGUGGACGCCGCAGGAACCCACAGCCAGAGAUGGAUGCCAAGAUGCACUCCUUCCUCUGUCUGGCAAGCUCUGCUGACCUGUGAGGUCGUUCCCACGCUUGCAGAGGUCCUACGGGCUUGGUGUUGGUUGUCGCUUGUGCUCACCUUGCUGUCACCGGGUGUUCUUCCUUUGGCCAUCUUUAGGGCUCCCCAGUUCUGGUGGGAUCUCCGUGCCUUCUGCUUAUCCCAGAGAACAUGGGUUUGUUCUCUUAUAUCCAGGUUCAGUAUGUUUUCCUGUUGUUAUGUGAUGUUUGCCUUAGUUUUUUUAUUUUUUAUUUUUUUUCCGGGCUGCUUAU
rnacentral:lncRNA from 7 species